UAGGGAAUAUUGGGCAAUGGACGGAAGUCUGACCCAGCCAUGCCGCGUGCAGGAGGAAGGCCCUCUGGGUUGUAAACUGCUUUUGUACGGGAAGAACAGCUUUAACGAGAUUAGAGUAUGACGGUACCGUAAGAAUAAGGAUCGGCUAACUACGUGCCAGCAGCCGCGGUAAUACGUAGGAUCCGAGCGUUGUCCGGAUUUAUUGGGUUUAAAGGGUGCGUAGGCGGUUUUAUAAGUCAGUGGUGAAAGUUGGCCGCUCAACGGUCAAACUGCCAUAGAUACUGUAGAACUUGAGUUAAGUUGAGGUGGGCGGAAUGUGUCAUGUAGCGGUGAAAUGCAUAGAGAUGACACAGAACACCGAUUGCGUAGGCAGCUCACUAAGCUUAUACUGACGCUGAGG
rnacentral:rRNA from 1 species